rnacentral:rRNA from 1 species
GGAGUUAUGAAAUGCAGGUUGGUUAAUACCCAACCUGUUUGACAAAGGCCCCAGAGGAAGCCACGGCUAACUCUGUGCCAGCAGCCGCGGUAAUACAGAGGUGGCAAGCGUUGUUCGGUAUUAUUGGGCGUAAAGAGCACGUAGGUGGUUUUGUAAGUCAGAUGUGAAAGCCUUCUGUUCAAAGAAAGAACGGCAUCUGAAACUGCAGAUCUUGAGUGUAGGAGGGGAGAGUGGAACUUCUGG